GAUGAACGCUGGCGGCGUGCCUAAUACAUGCAAGUCGAGCGAACAGACGAGGAGCUUGCUCCUCUGACGUUAGCGGCGGACGGGUGAGUAACACGUGGAUAACCUACCUAUAAGACUGGGAUAACUUCGGGAAACCGGAGCUAAUACCGGAUAAUAUAUUGAACCGCAUGGUUCAAUAGUGAAAGACGGUUUUGCUGUCACUUAUAGAUGGAUCCGCGCCGCAUUAUCUAGUUGGUAAGGUAAAGGCUUACCAAGGCAACGAUGCGUAGCCGACCUGAGAGGGUGAUCGGCCACACUGGAACUGAGACACGGUCCAGACUCCUACGGGAGGCAGCAGUAGGGAAUCUUCCGCAAUGGGCGAAAGCCUGACGGAGCAACGCCGCGUGAGUGAUGAAGGUCUUCGGAUCGUAAAACUCUGUUAUUAGGGAAGAACAAAUGUGUAAGUAACUAUGCACGUCUUGACGGUACCUAAUCAGAAAGCCACGGCUAACUACGUG
rnacentral:rRNA from 1 species